CCGCAGAGCCUUCCGCGGGAACGGGGCCCUGCCGGCACCUUGAUUUUACACCGCUGGCCUCUGAAACUGACACUCCGCUCAAGGAGCCCAGUGUCUGACAGCAAGGACUCAAACAGAGCUCCAAGCGGCCCAAACCCCAAGCGUUCUGUGCCAUGGCCCUGGGGAAGCAACCACACCAUAUACCUCCAAGCUCAUUUCCUGCAAGAGGAUCCUGGUAAACAAGGUGCUCUGUUCCAUCCAUAGGUGGUAACACUCAUACUGAUCCUUUCUAGCUACAACUCGUGAUUGCAUUUGGUAGCAGAAGCACUGCUCUGGGUCAGAACGGCAGGAUGCUUUGGUGGUAGCAAAAGAAAACUGAGAUGGAUUCUUAAUAGUGAGUUGAAUGAUGAUUCCCCUCACCUCCAAAAAAGAUAUGUCCAUGUCCUGAACCUCCAAACUUGUGUUAUACCUGAUUUAGAAAGAAGGUCUUUGCGGACAUAAUUAAGAAUCCUGAGAUGAGAUCCUCUUUGAUUAUCCAGUGGUCCCUAAAUCAGAUGACCUGUGUCCUUGGAACAACAGACGGUCAGAGGGAGGUGUGAGACAGUCCUAAGAGAAGACACCAAGAGGAGACAGGGAUGUGAAGACAGAGGCAGUGGUGGGGUUGAUGCAGCUACAAGCCAAGGAGUGCCAUGGAUUGUCAGCAGCCCCGUGAAAGUAGGAGAAAGCAUGGAAUGGAAUCUCAGAAGGAAGUGUGGCCCUGCUAACACCAUGAUUUCAGACUUCUGCCUCCAUAACUGUGAGAUAAUAAAUCUGUUGUUUUAAAUAAUCCAUUUUGGAGCAAUUCGUUACAGUAAUCCUAUUAAAACUAAUAGGAUUCUGAAAUGCUAUGUUCUCACGAAUGUUCAAUGUGAAAGAUAAUGGACACCCAAACCUCAGUCCA